GACGAACGCUGGCGGCGCGCUUAACACAUGCAAGUCGAGCGAGAACCAGUCCUUCGGGACUGGGGACAGCGGCGAACGGGUGAGUAACACGUGGGUAAUCUGCCCUCGGCACCGGAAUAGCCCGGGGAAACCCGGAUUAAUGCCGGAUGGCCUCUCUGCCCCUCGGGGCGGCGAGAAAAGGUAGCUUCGGCCUCCGGCCGAGGAUGAGCCCGCGGCCGAUUAGCUUGUUGGUGAGGUAACGGCUCACCAAGGCGACGAUCGGUAGCUGGUCUGAGAGGACGAUCAGCCACACUGGGACUGAGAAACGGCCCAGACUCCUACGGGAGGCAGCAGUGGGGAAUCUUGCGCAAUGGGCGAAAGCCUGACGCAGCGACGCCGCGUGCGGGAAGAAGGCCUUCGGGUUGUAAACCGCUUUCAGGAGGGACGAAGCCACUCGGGUUAAUAGCCCAGAGGGUGACGGUACCUCCAGAAGAAGCCCCGGCUAACUACGUGCCAGCCGCCGCAGUAAAAC
rnacentral:rRNA from 1 species